GCAUUAACUUAUGAAUUUGGUUCUGGUUCUUUAAGUUGCGUAGAUUGAGGCUUAUGCAUGCUAGCUAUUAUUGCAUUACGGUAAGGCAUACGGUUACAUCUGUCAGUACAAUUAAUUUUAACUGAGGGAAAAUCUGUGGGGUUUAACCGUUCUUGGUAAGAAUGAUGCCCGUCAAAUAACGUUACACCUGCAGCAAUGAGUUCUUAACACUAACUGAGAGGUUGAUUAGACCAAGUAUAUUUUGGAAGGGGCUAAGUCUCGUGCCAGCAGCCGCGGUUACACGAAUACCUUCUCGCAACUAAUGAAGUGGUUUAAGAAAAUACACAUCAUUUUAUAGUAUAAAAGGGAUUAUUAAGUGUGAAAACUUUAAUUUUCUGCGAAUAUGUUUAACAGUUUUGUGGUAUUUAUUAAUUUAAGGUGGAGACCCGGAUUAGAGACCCGGUUAUUCUUAAGCGUUAAUAUUCAUAGCCGGCGGAGUAUAAAGGUGUCUUAGAAAAGCAAAGAACUUGGCGGUUGCCUAUUUCUGAUUAGGGGAACCUGCUCGAAAAGGAUAAUCCACCACAAACCUGACCCUUUCUUGAAAUUUCAGCCACUAUAUCAUCGUCGCUAAGCACUUAGUCUAAGUUAAAGACAGCGUUUACCAGUCAAUUUGGGUUUAAGUCAGAUCAAGAUGGUGCUUAUGAAAUGGGGAGCAGUGGGUUACAUUAGCUUUCUAGCUGUUCGAAUUUUUACUUGAAAAAUAAAAUGAAGUAGGACUUAAUAGUAAGGCUUAAUGAGAGAGAUUGCCUGAAUUUAGCACUAGGCUUCGUACACAUCGCCCGUCGCCUGCGGGGUAAAACUUGGAGUAAGUCGUAACAUAGUAGGCGGACUGGAAGGUGUGGCCUGGAAAACUA
rnacentral:rRNA from 1 species